GGGAUGAACCCUUGACAGUCCUCCACAUAGUUUAAGUAUGAAUAGAUGUUGAGUGUCCUGGUUAAUGAAGAUGGAAUUCCUCAACUGGUGUUGAACAGGGAUUUCUUCGCCUGAAACCAUCAAGAGAGACAAAAACAAAACAGUCCAGAAACAAUUCAGGACUCCAAAAGGUGUCUAGGAGUUGUUUAGAGCCUUCAGUGUGGAUAAAAUAAUGUCAGCAUGACUGUGUAGAGAGGGGCACAUUCUUCUGUGAAGGAACAUUUCUACAAGUGCAUCUCUGAGACUCAAGAGCAUGGGUCUUGGGUGCAGACUACUUCCAGAUAUCUUCAACUCAUGUCUCAGUGGAGUAAUGGCAACCUGUGUGGAACCUGGCAUGAUGCCUCUCUCCUGUUCUUACCAGUGGACGUGAAAUUUGGUACUUAAUUCUUCCAGACUCUCAAUUCCAUCUUCUUAAAACAGAGUGUCUUCCAAAAUUUAUGUCAAUAUUCUUUGGGGCAGUGGUGCGAUUAGAUUGUUAUAGUGGAACAUCUUUCUCUUAGACAGGGCCAUACAUAUGGGUGGCCCAUUCAGCCAAGAUUUUUCUUUCCCAGAGACUACCAGUAAGAUCAAUGUAGUAUGGUCCAAGUGUUAAAGAACUAGUAACAGAUAUAAAAAGAAGGCAGACAAGAGGAUCAUCAAAAAGAUGGCUGACAGAUGGGAACCUUUAAAACAGACAAAGUUGCACAUGCAAAGUCAGGGCAGGUAGAGGAAUAAGCUACUGCAGCUGGCUCAGAUUCUUCUUACCAUCAUUGUUGGCCAC
rnacentral:lncRNA from 1 species